UAGGGAAUCUUCGGCAAUGGACGGAAGUCUGACCGAGCAACGCCGCGUGAGUGAAGAAGGUUUUCGGAUCGUAAAGCUCUGUUGUUAGAGAAGAACGUUGGUCGGAGCGGAAAAUCUACCAAGUGACGGUAACUAACCAGACAGGGACGGCUAACUACGUGCCAGCAGCCGCGGUAAUACGUAGGUCCCGAGCGUUGUCCGGAUUUAUUGGGCGUAAAGCGAGCGCAGGCGGUUCUUUAAGUCUGAAGUUAAAAGCAGUGGCUUAACCAUUGUACGCUUUGGAAACUGGAGGACUUGAGUGCAGAAGGGGAGAGGGGAAUUCCAUGUGUAGCGGUGAAAUGCGUAGAUAUAUGGAGGAACACCGGUGGCGAAAGCGGCUCUCUGGUCUGUAACUGACACUGAGGCACGAAAGCGUGGGGAGCAAACAGG
rnacentral:rRNA from 1 species